rnacentral:tRNA from 1 species
GCCGAAAUGGCUCAGUUGGGAGAGCGUUAGACUGAAGAUCUAAAGGUCCCUGGUUCGUUCCCGGGUUUUCGGCG